CCUACGGGAGGCAGCAGUGAGGAAUAUUGGUCAAUGGUCGGGAGACUGAACCAGCCAAGCCGCGUGAGGGAUGAAGGUACAGAGUAUCGUAAACCUCUUUUGUCAGGGAACAAAGGCGGGGACGCGUCCCCGGAUGAGUGUACCUGAAGAAAAAGCAUCGGCUAACUCCGUGCCAGCAGCCGCGGUAAUACGGAGGAUGCGAGCGUUAUCCGGAUUUAGUGGGUUUAAAGGGUGCGCAGGCGGUCUGUUAAGUCAGCGGUCAAAGCCCGGGGCACAACCCCGGCCCGCCGUUGAAACUGGCAGUCUCGAGUUGGAGAGAAGUAUGCGGAAUUCGUGGUGUAGCGGUGAAAGGCAUAGAUAUCACGAGGAACCCCGAUUGCGAAGGCAGCCUGCCGGGGUGCGACUGACGCUGAGGCUCGAAGGUGCGGGUAUCAAACAGGAUUAGAUACCCGAGUAGUC
rnacentral:rRNA from 1 species